UUUUGCAUAUAUUUUAAGGUCCGAAUUGAUCAGGGAGAUGGGCCUAUAGUUUGAUGCGAGUUCACGGUCUUUCAGGGGUACAGGUUGACACACUAGCCUUUUACCUAGUCACUCACCCAUCUCCACACCUAGUCAAUUUCCUCAUCACGGGCUUCACCAAAGGGUUCCACACCGGGCUAAUUGCACUACCCAUAGGUACGCUUGAGUGUAACAACCUACAGUCAGCAACAUCAGAUCCCACCACCCAUAACGAAAUUCAGAAAGGCUUCAUGAUCGGGACAUUCCAUACGACCCCGUUCACUUGCUGGCGUACCAAUCCUAUAGGUAUCGCCGCAGGGAAAUACAACAAUAAAAAACGCUUGAUCAUAGACCUAUCGGCUCCUCAUUCUGUUGUAACACCUAGCCUGAACGCACUCAUACCAUCAGACGAAUUCUCCCUGCAG